GCAUUUUAGAAGAAAGGAAAAACGUGCUUUCUUCACCUCCAGCAUCCUAGUGAAUAUUAGCUUUUCAAUAUUUCAGCUGACAUUUACAAUUUUCUGAUUUCCAAACUGGUUCAUCCAGGAACCUGUGAAUAGAAAAUCUAUGUACAUUUUCCUCCAAAAUAUAUCUCAAAUACACGUACUUUCUACAAUCUCUACUGCCUUCACCCCAGUCUGCAGAGUCCUAGCUCUCAAUUAGGUCCUAAAAUAACUUCCUAACUUGAUUCUUACUAACACUCUCCACUCUCCAAUUUACUACCCGUUUGGCAGCCAAUAAUCUUCUCGUUGCAUAUUUCAUAUAAGGUUAUUUUCUCUCCGAAAAAAAAAAAAAAAAAAAAAAAAAAGAAAAACUCUCUCAUGGCUUCCUACUGAACGCACAAUAAAAGUCCAUGUUUACCAUGACCUACCAGGGCCUGAAUGCUCAGGUCCCAGCUUGCUUCAUCAAAUUCAUUGUUCGGCCCCCAUCUUCCUUGGGAAAUGCCCAAUCCUUCCUGCCACAUUGCCGUGAACAUCCCUAUCCUCUGCCUGGGAUGCUCAUACACCACACUAACCCCCUCCCCACCGCACCCCUUCAUGGCACUGCUCCCUUGAAUUCUUUAGGUGUCCACAGCAAUGCUGCCUCUUCAGAAAGGCCUCCUCUGGCCAACGUCUCUAAAUGAACCUCCUCCACGUUGGAUUCUGCAAGAUGGUCCCUGUUCAUUUUCCUCAUAGCACUAAUUUCAACUUAGAACUUAAAUAUGUACUUUUGGUGUCUGCUUCUCUCAUGAGAAGAGAGAAGAUCCACAUGGCCAGGAAUGCUGCCUGGCACAGAGUAGGGCAUAGUAUCAUAAAUAGUUGUCGAAUGCAUUACUUAUUGUUCUAAUGUGUAUUCGUUACUCCUAUUCAUAAAUACAGAUAAAUCUCCGCACCCCUCAGCCUCCAUUGGCCAUUAUUUUGACACAGUCUUGUCAGCUCUCCUGCCAAACCUUUGGUUACAGAACGCUGGCACUGAGAAGAGGAUUUCUCUGAGUCAUUUUUCUAAAACUUGAUGCCCGAAUGAAAAGCAUCAAUGGUUGGCCAAAUUCAUGUAUCAUGCAAUGCAUCAGUGAUACAUUGCAGCCCAAGAGGGAGUUUCAUAUUUCAGCUGGACUGAAACAAGACUUGACUGCCACAUGCUUGUGCAAUUAGAGAAGUAGCUAUCCUUUCUCUUGGAUCAUCAAAGACUACCUGUCUCAAAGUAAAAUAAACCAGUAAAUUAAGUUAGACAAUACUUUAAACACAACCCUUACUAAUGUCACGAUUUAUUAAAUUAAGAUGUCUCAGGCUGACUAAAAAGGAAAUCAUGAUAAUCUACAAUGCACAUUGUCGGGUUUGGAGGCCCAGUGUCCACAGCCAGAUUUUCCUGCCUGAAAGCCCUAGGCUCCCUGGACUGUCUGAAAAUACUACACUUGCUGCAAGUUCCAUGUGGAAAGUUUCCUGGGCAGAAUUCCUUAACCCCCAUUCCUGGUUCUUCCCACUGUGUGAUACGCCAACCAGUGCUCUACUGCUAGCUCAAAGAAGAGGAGACCUUCAUUUAGUGAACUUGAACGUCUCAGUGUCCAGUACAACUCCAUAUGGAAUGAGUGAAUAAUCACAGACAGCUUCGCAUGGUUAAUGGCUGCACGCUCAUCCUGAAAACAGCGCAACUUGCAAUAGAGCGAAGUAAGAAGUGCUGUUGUUCUGGAAGCCUAACCCUCCUUUCCCGGGACCUGGACCAUAGCCUCUUCAUCAGGGGGAAAAAGGACACACGUUCUUAAUCAAUCUGGACCUCUUUCUUUUAAUUAAUACAGCUCUUGUUAUCCUAGUUCCACAGGGGCUCGUUAGUGGCUAGGUGACAGGCAUGCCAAUGCCUUCCUGAAAAUAAGAGGUGAAGACGGCCUAUCUCCUUACCUAUUACAACCGCGCUCUGUGAGGCCUUAGGGAGAUGCUUGGUAGAGUAAAUGUUGGUCUCCCCUUCCCAUCUUCUGGCGAAUACAGACAAAUUGAAAU